rnacentral:rRNA from 1 species
GCUUCUUUUUCCCCGGAGCUUGCUCCACCGGAAAAAGAAGAGUGGCGAACGGGUGAGUAACACGUGGGUAACCUGCCCAUCAGAAGGGGAUAACACUUGGAAACAGGUGCUAAUACCGUAUAACAAUCGAAACCGCAUGGUUUUGAUUUGAAAGGCGCUUUCGGGUGUCGCUGAUGGAUGGACCCGCGGUGCAUUAGCUAGUUGGUGAGGUAACGGCUCACCAAGGCCACGAUGCAUAGCCGACCUGAGAGGGUGAUCGGCCACAUUGGGACUGAGACACGGCCCAAACUCCUACGGGAGGCAGCAGUAGGGAAUCUUCGGCAAUGGACGAAAGUCUGACCGAGCAACGCCGCGUGAGUGAAGAAGGUUUUCGGAUCGUAAAACUCUGUUGUUAGAGAAGAACAAGGAUGAGAGUAACUGUUCAUCCCUUGACGGUAUCUAACCAGAAAGCCACGGCUAACUACGUGCCAGCAGCCGCGGUAAUACGUAGGUGGCAAGCGUUGUCCGGAUUUAUUGGGCGUAAAGCGAGCGCAGGCGGUUUCUUAAGUCUGAUGUGAAAGCCCCCGGCUCAACCGGGGAGGGUCAUUGGAAACUGGGAGACUUGAGUGCAGAAGAGGAGAGUGGAAUUCCAUGUGUAGCGGUGAAAUGCGUAGAUAUAUGGAGGAACACCAGUGGCGAAGGCGGCUCUCUGGUCUGUACUGACGCUGAGCUCGAAGCGUGGGAGCA